UCGCCCCCGCCCCAGCCUCACCCGCCUCUGGGAAUCCAGCCGGAUCCUCUGCUAAAGGGGCGUGGGAGCAGCGCGCAUCCCGGCGCGCAACGGCAGCGCCAGAGGGUGACUUGGUAGCUCGUUGUCAGUCAGCUUUGGCCCCCUGGGACCUCUGGGGUCCGUUUUCAAAAAGGAGACUGGGUGAAGGCAGAUUUUAAAAGAGAAAAAGGAAGAAGGUGGGAAGCUGAAGCUUUGGUGGCAUUAGGAAGCUGCUGGGUGCCCCUCUCCGGGAACUCCGCUCGACCGAGAGAGUGGCCCCGGGUCUCCUACCAGGAUAGAUGAACAGCGAAGACAGAGGCGAGGUUGGAGUUGAAGGACUGCUGAAGGGAGGCAGGGGUUUGGAAAAGGAGCUGGACCCUCCCUAGAACUGCCCCAGCGCCUUCAUCCUUCCGCCCAUCUCAGGCACCGCCGUCAGAACCGAGAGAGUGGGGCAGACUUGAUCCUGGUGGGGUGACUUCGACGGAGCGUGGCGGACAGGCGCACGGAGAGCUGGUGAGGGGCAACCCUGAAAGUGCUGGGGGAUUGACAAAGCCUGGCGGAGCUGGGCCCCAGUCUUGAGAGGGGGCUGCCGGAGUCCUCUCCCUCCUCACCGGGGCUCUCGCCUCCUCGGCAUCCUGUAACUCCUAGCUCUCGGCCUCCGCUGUUCAAAACUCCGGGCUGGCUCCAUCACCGCUCCUUGGGAGUGGCUGGAGCAGGUGGACCUUUGCGUCCCAACGUAUAAGUGACCGACCUCCCCGAUCUCCUGCUUGCACGCUGGGAUCAGGGGCCCUGCGGUCGCAUUCUGCUCUGAACCUGGACUUCGGCGCCGCGCCAACUCCCGCGGGCCCCACGAGGAGCGGCCAUAGGAGCUGGAGGCGCAGAAGCCUUGAGAAGACACAAAGACUGUCUGCAGCGCUUGGCGGGGCGCGGGGAACCCCAAGCUCUGUAAGGCCGGGGCAGUUGUGGGACUUAAAGGGCGGCAGUUUCGGCUAGGCCUGAGAAAGAUUCCGCGAACAGCUGGAAGCUACAUUGGAAGGGGUUGGUUAAGGAAAAAGCAAGCUCUUCAUCCACGGGGUAUGCAAGCCCAGGCUGAACGUUCACUUGGGGUGUGUGUGUGUGGGGAUGUAGGCAGGGGUCUGCAAUUUGGAAGAAGGGGCCUGGGAGCUCUGGUUUUGCGUAGGGCGAGGAUGCAGCGUCCGCCUGGUCUGGCCCUGGAAGGUGCCGCUCCCCUCACCGCUCCACCCCCCCGCCCCUCCCCUGCUGCCAGCUGUACAAGACUUCGAUUCACUUCGCUCCGGAGUCCUUGAAGGGAGAGCUGCGAAAAGGCCCGCAUUCCCUCCUCCCUGUCCCCUCCCCUUCCUCGCUCCCUCUGCAAGCACUUAAAAUGUAAAUGUACACCGUGAUUAGCCGCUGGGUCUCUAA